AUGGCAGCUACUUUGCGUCAGCAACUGGACAGGUUCACAGUUGGAAUGGCAUACAACAAGAUAUCACAGGCAGAGUGUAAAGAAAAGUUUCUUACGAGAUUAGUUCUCCUGUUUGCAGAUUUGGCAAUGCUAAUGAUACUGAAGUUCAUGCUACUUUGUGGGUAUGAGAAUAUGGCUGUGAACAAUAUCUAUGCAUUUCAAAGGUUACAGAUGCCACAAGGCUUGCCUAACAAAGGUUCGCUGAAAAGGAAUGGCUUGACAAAAAAAGGGCUAUCAUUCGUCUGGGUUAAAGCAGUUGUUGUGAUCAGGCAGAGAGAAUUUGAGAGCAUCAACAAAAAUCCUUAUCGGCUACACUUCAUAAAUGUUUUCUCAGUGGCUGUUUGA
rnacentral:rRNA from 1 species